UACAGAGGGGGCAAGCGUUAUUCGGAAUUAUUGGGCGUAAAGGGCGCGUAGGCGGUUUUUUACGUCGGAUGUGCACUCCCCAGGCUCAACCUGGGAACUGCAUCCGAGACUGGAAGGCUAGAGUACUGGAGAGGGUGGUGGAAUUCCUCGUGUAGCGGUGAAAUGCGGAGAGAUGAGGAGGAACACCAGUGGCAAAGGCGGCCACCGGGACAGUAACUGACGCUGAGGCGCGAAAGCGUGGGUAGCAAACAGG
rnacentral:rRNA from 1 species